rnacentral:rRNA from 1 species
AUACCGGCGCCUCAAGUGGUAGUCGCUUUUAUUGGGCCUAAAACGUCCGUAGCCGGUUUGGUACAUUCGUGGGUAAAUCAAGGCGCUCAACGUCUUGAAUUCUGCGAGCACGGCCAGACUUGGGACCGGGUGAGGUGUGGGGUACUCUCAGGGUAGGGGUAAAAUCCUGUCAUCCUGAGAGGACCACCUGUUGCGAAGGCGCCACACUAGAACGGAUCCGACGGUCAGGGACGAAGCCUAGGGGCACGAACCGGAUUAGAAACCCGAGUAGUCC